UAUCGAAAAGUUUAGUAGUCAUAUGAUCCGAAAAUGCAUACCAACAUUCCUAAAAUAACGUUAAGUAAUUAUUAAUAUUUUCUAAAAAAAUGUAUGCUUAAAUUCUCGUCGUGAGUUGUUCACUCGCGGGACAGUGUAUUUAGUCAGCUGUUUUUGACAGCCGAUUAUCCGAAGCAGAUGUUCAAUAAAUUCCAAAUCAAAAGAGAGAUGGCGUCACUAUCGUGUGACGCAGUAAAUUUCGAACCUGUGUUGCUGUUUAUCUGUCAUCUGGUUAUGUGAGCAACUGCUAAAUCAAAGCAGUCAAAUGCAGUCAGUUAACGCAUUGUACGACGAAAUUCGGAAUUUGGCGCCACGGCUAAUUGAUGAUAUUUGUUAAUGACAUGUAUUUUGUGGGCAAGUCAAAUCUAAGAGUUUCAUGUGUUUAUAAAUUUGGAUUGUUUCUCAACAUGUAAACAAACCAGAAAUCCCACUCCUGCAAAUGCAUUCUUUUUAAUACUUGGCUUGAGCGGUGGCGGCGGCUUUUAUGUUUAUUUUUCUAGUUCCCACGUGGUUUCUCAAGCGAUGAAACAAACAAGAUUUCCUGAAGAAAAUAAAACUUAUUGGAAAAUAUCUAUUAAGAAAAUGAAUUGAAUACACAAUAUCUUGAAAUAAAACACUUUUUAAGUUGAACUUCGACCUGAACUGAAACGAGCUGUCAAAGUUUUGUUUAUUGUGUACUGUGAUAGGGAUUUCGUGACAAAUUUCACUAUGUUAGAGUGUUACUGAUUUUAAAAAUUUUUAGAUACGAGGUGAAUAAGAAACAAUAUUUCUUUCGAACUUAUCUUGUAUAUUGUUUUACAAUGAGUAUGGAUUUUCUACUCACUAGAAAACGUUUAGUAAUGGAAUUUUAAUGUUCUCGUGACUUGAAAGUCAAAUAAGAGUAAUUUUUGUUUACGAUCUGUUUAUUUGUUCACAACUGAAUAAAUAAGAAAUGUUGAUAAAUUCUUCGUUAAAGAUAUUCUUAACUGUUGAUAGUGAACAAUUUCUUUUAAAUAAGCUUUGAAGAAAUUCCUAAACUAGUGAAAUUUACAGAUUUCGAAGUUGAUAUAUUUAACUGAUUGAAUUGCUUUUAAUUCGUUGGAGCCAAGUUAUUUCUAUUUGAUUAUUUGUUAUCGCGGUCUAUCACGUCCGAUAUGGCUGAUCCAGAUUUGGCUCGCCUUGGACCUAUAGACCGUCUCAGUAUGGCUUCAUCUGCGAGAUCUUCUCUUCCAUCUAUUAUGGGUGAAGGGGAAGAAGGUGGUGGAGAGGCUUCUUGGAAUCAAGGAGUUGCAGACAAUGGUCAUAUUGCCAAUAAUGAUGAUGAAAUUGAUUGGAAAAAGAAAUGUGAAGAUUUGCAAUCAACUCUAGUGGAAAUUCGAGAACAGACUGAAGAAAAGGUAUGUUUUAUUAGUUUAUGAUUAAAUUAUUAAUUUAUCAUGUCCAUUUUUUCUCUUCAGAAUAAUGUUUAGAACAGGUUUAGAAAUAGUUUUUUU